rnacentral:rRNA from 1 species
CCUACGGGCGGCUGCAGUGGGGAAUUUUGGACAAUGGGGGCAACCCUGAUCCAGCCAUGCCGCGUGCGGGAAGAAGGCCUUCGGGUUGUAAACCGCUUUCGGCCGGAACGAAAUCGCCGGGGAGAACAUCCCCGGUGGAUGACGGUACCGGAAGAAGAAGCACCGGCUAACUACGUGCCAGCAGCAGCGGUAAUACGUAGGGUGCGAGCGUGCGUCGGAAUUACGGGGCGGAUAGCGUGAGAAGGCGGUUAAAUCCCCGGGCUUAACCUGGGAACUGCGUUUGGGACUGGCGGGCUGGAGUGCGGAAGAGGGAGGUGGAAUUCCACGUGUAGCAGUGAAAUGCGUAGAGAUGUGGAGGAACACCGAUGGCGAAGGCAGCCUCCUGGUCUAGCACUGACGCUCAUGCACGAAAGCGUGGGGAGCAAACAGGAUUAGAUACCCGAGUAGUC